AACCUUUCUUGGCCUUUUGGCUAAGAUCAAGUGUAGUACGUUCUUAUCAGUAUAAUACCCUGAUAUGUGGUCCAUCGGAUCACAUGAUAUUAAAUUAAUUUCUUCUGGGGGAUGGCCCACCACAGCAGCUUGCUGCUGGGGCCAUCGAGUGUCACCCUUGCAUUGCACUGUUACAUGAGCCUGGCGCAUCCCUC